GGGGCCUUUUGAUACUUGGUUGGGUUGUUGCUGGCUUUUAGAAGCAUGUGCACAUCCACUCCAUUUUCAACCACCUGUGCACACAUUGUAGGCUUGAAACUCUCGAGGACACUCGGUUUGAGAAUUGCUCUUAAAUGCAGCUUUUCUUGCAUUUCAAGUCUAUGUUUUUAUAUACUCCAUAUGAAUGUAACAGAAUGUUUAUUAAGGGCCUUUUUGUGCCUGUAAAACAAAUACAACUUUCAACAACGGAUCUCUUGGCUCUCGCAUCGAUGAAGAACGCAGCGAAAUGCGAUAAGUAAUGUGAAUUGCAGAAUUCAGUGAAUCAUCGAAUCUUUGAACGCACCUUGCGCUCCUUGGUAUUCCGAGGAGCAUGCCUGUUUGAGUGUCAUGAAAUUCUCAACCUCUCUAGCUUUAUCUAGCUGGUUAGGCUUGGAUUGUGGAAGUUGCUGGUUUUAUCAGAAAUCAGCUCUUCUUAAAUGCAUUAGCAAAACCUUUGCUGACUAUCUUUAGUAUGAUAAUUAUCUAUACUAUUGAAAAGUAGCUCUUAUGGGGAUGGUUUUGCUUCUAACAGUCCAUCUGGACAACCUUGACAAUUUGACCUCAAAUCAGGUAGGACUACCCGCUGAACUUAAGCAUAUCAAUAAGCGGAGGAAAAGAAACUAACAAGGAUUCCCCUAGUAACUGCGAGUGAAGCGGGAAAAGCUCAAAUUUAAAAUCUGGUAGUCUUUGGCUGCCCGAGUUGUAAUCUAGAGAAGUGUUAUCCGCACUGGACCGUGUACAAGUUCUCCUAACUGG
rnacentral:rRNA from 1 species